rnacentral:ncRNA from 1 species
CGAAAGGCUAUGAAGGUGAAAAGUACGCAGAUGCGCCGCCUCAGAGAGAAAACGUCAUCGGCUGAAAGCGUUUUUGGUCUGGAGAGUUUGCGGAAGUUCCCACCGGAGCCGAUUUCCUGAAGUGCCUAUGGCAAGCGUAGGGAAAUCCGUUUCAUGCACGUUACGCAUCAGAGUGCCUGUGUUAGCAGGAAUUUGGGUGGUACCACGGAAGUCUUCGUCCCUAUU